GUCCCGGCUGUAAACGGUGCACGUUUGCUGUAAAAGGAAUCGACCCCUUUUGUGGCGUAGCUAACGCGUUAAACGUGCCGCCUGGGAAGUACGGUCGCAAGAUUAAAACUCAAAGAAAUUGACGGGGGCCUGCACAAGCGGUGGAGUAUGUGGCUCAAUUCGAUGCAACGCGAAGAACCUUACCUGGCCUUGACAUGUACAUAGUAGAAGGGUGAAAGCCUGACGAGCUCGCAAGAGCAGGGUACACAGGUGCUGCAUGGCUGUCGU
rnacentral:rRNA from 1 species